UUUUGUGUGCGGCAUAUGUACCAGAAUUUCCACAAGAUCCACAAAGGUGAACAGUUGAAGAACAACUUGUGGUUAAUUGCUAGGGCCACAAAUAUUCCUGCAUACACUGGAGCAAUGGAAAAGAUGAAACAAGACAGCUUUGAUGCAUACAAAUGGGCUGAGAAAUGGCCUCCAAGAACCUGGAUUAAAGCAUUUUUUAACCCAUUUCCAAAGUGUGACAUUCUACUCAAUAACAUGCCUGAAGUUUUCAAUAGCUGGAUCUUGCAAUCAAGAGAACUACCCAUCAAGUCAAUGUUGGACAACAUGAAUGACAAGAUCACAACCAGGAUGCACAACAAGCAGAAGGAGUUGUCCACUGAUAGAAAAUGGACAAGAAGAUUGUGCCCAAAAAUUCAAAAGAAACUUGAUAAGUUUACUGAAUGGGCUGCUCACUGCAUGGUUCAAGGGGCAGGUCAAAAGGUUUUCAAGGUGCUGUCAAUGCACCAUUCGUAUAUAGUUGAUUUGAACAAUGAGAGUUGUGAUUGCAAAAGA
rnacentral:rRNA from 1 species